AGGGAGACCAUUUUGAAAAUGGCUGCCUUCGCUAUUCCAAAGAAAACACUCACGCUAGCCACGAGGACAAAAAGCAUUUAUUUUUGUCUGGGCAAAUUUGCCUUCAGACCAAAAGCUUCUCAAGAUGGCAAAUGUUCUGCCUGCUAGGAUGUUGCCAGAUAAAACAAUUACUUACUAGAGUCAAAAUAACUCCAAAAGCUAUGCACUGAAGAAGGCAAUGAACAAUGAAAAGGGGUCAGGCGUGGUGGCUCACGCCUAUAAUUCCAACACUUUGGGAGGCUGAGGCCAGAGGGCGGCUUGAGUCCAGGAGUUCAAGGCUGCAGUGAGCUAUGAUUGCACCACUGCACUUCAGCCUGGGUGUCAGAGCGAGACCCUGUCUCUAAAUAUAUAAAUUAAAAAGAAUGAAAAGAAUACUUCACCUCAGACCUCAGCCUUUCAUCCUUCAGCUGAAUGGAAUAUUUGGAUCUCACCUAUGAGCUCAAUAAGAAAAGAAAAACACAAAUGACUGAAAGCAGGACUUCAGCAGCCCUGAGAAAUCAUGGACGGGAAUCCACCUUUGUUUACUACAAAACACCCUGCUUCACGGUUUCUCAUUGUGCUACCUUCCUUCGGGGGAACCCCAGGAUUUCACAGGCUGAUAUCCCCAGCUACAUCCAAGUUUCCAGAAAUGAGGAUCCAUAGGCACAAAGUGAGGUGUCCCCAACCCUCCCUUUUUACAGCCCAUGCCUGAUAUUUAUCGGAACGUCCACAAGGCGAUGGUGAACGGUGGCCAAAUGAGAAGCUCAGUGUCUGGGAAAAUGAUUGAAAAUGGCCAAGUGCCACAGUGAGAGUUGUUUGUUCUGGGAAUGGAAGGAGGAAAUUGUCAGAGGAAGUGAAAUAGGAAAUGAAGAGAUCAAAGGGAGGAGGAAAUAAGAUUGAAUUGAGCCCUUUUUGGAUUCAACUUUGCACUCUUAACCCAUGUGAGGCAAAAAGAUUAGCCUUUAAACAGCUGGAGUUGGGGAGAAACACUUUCCAACGGGUGCAUCCUGGCGACUGUUAGCUCCCACAUCCCACCCCACAAAUGGACUGCAGCAGGGGAGCUGAGGGAAGCCAGAUCCGUUUCCUACAGAAAAUCCAGUGGUUUCUGAUGGCAGGAGGGAGGCGGUCUAUCUUCACUGCGGAUGGCGAGGUGCCUUUUGGAGGAGGAGGAUGGAGAGAAAGGGUCUCCAACAGCGAACCUUUGUCCUGCAAUGCAAAUGAACCUCUGCAAAACAGGGCGCAGACAAUGCCAGCCUAGUCCUCUGCGCGAAGCGAUCCAUCUGCAGCUAUUUUGUUAACCUGAUGUUUCUUACAUUCUUUCUCUCAUACAAAAUACUUGAUUUUGACAGCUGUGAAUUUUAAACAACCAUUCUGUGUAUGUUUUUCUAAUUUUGUGUAUUCAGAUUGUUUCUCCAUAUUGGGGGGGUUGGAAGCCAAGUACUUUACAUUCCUUCGUUUAGAGAUUUCAUGCUUUUCGAAAGUCGUGGCGGUUCUGAUCGCUAAACAAAGUAGAAAUGAAGUGUGCUCACCAGCAGCAUUGGAAUGACCGGGGAGUGCAGAAGCACUUUUGAAAUAAAAAAGGUUGCACAAGCGGACUGGAGGCAGGGCUCAGGAGUGACACAUCACUCAGUCACACUCUGGUGGCCCCAGGAAGCUGCGUCUGCCCUCACUUACCUGUAAAAUGGGGCUGCAACAACAUUCUCACAAGGCAGAAAAUAAAGAUCUCAUAUAUCCAGGUCCAUCAACCCAGUUUUAUUUCCCCUUUCCAGCUCUAGUUACAUUGUUCUGGCAGCCAAUCUUUCUUCUUAGGUAGCAUGCAAAGGCAUGGAUUUGUUUUUAAGCAUGAAGGAAAACAAAACGUGCUCUCAGACUGAGGCUAGCGUUGAUAAGACACCACAAUUGGGUGCAUGGUUUUAAAACUGGUUUAUUUAUUUAUUUAUACCUUUGCCUCACCGAUAGAAGGCAGUUCACCACCCAAACCACAAAUGAUAAAAACAAAAACUCUGGACAAGAAAAAAGGAAGCUGCAAAUAGGGCAAUUAUAAGGCUCAUUUUGUUUGCUACCACUGAGCUUUGAAAUCUGACUCACAGCUUCCUGGCAGCAAGAGUGAAAAGGGGAUGACGAUUAAUGACAAAGCCUCACUUCACUGGAGUAUACAGUUCUUCAAAGGAGAGAAGAAUUUUCCAGAUGCUUCAUUUUCAAAUAAAUUCUGCACUCAGGGCUCUUUAUAACGGGUCAAUGAGAACAGAAGUUCGCUGUCAACUGUGAGAGCAAACAGAGCUGCAAAAUUGCCAGGGCCAGAGCAAAAAAGUGAAGCAAAGGGGCACCUGUCUAGUGCCCAUUCCAGUUGUCUGGUGGUGGGCUCACAAAGUCUUAUCUUGAGAAGGAUUCAAGACCACAUCUAAGCUGGGCAAAAAAGAGGCUACACUAUGUUAGAGAUGCCUGCCAUAGGCAGAGGGCAGAUGAUGGCCCACACGUGUGCUGAAUAACUCCUAACCUUGGCUAAAUAAAUACAGCACAAAUGAGCAGGUUUCUGGUCUCCAACUUGAUCCAAAGAUAGAGCUCUAGGGGUUUAGUAGACUGGAUGGCAAUCAGGAUUUUUAGAUGUCCCUGAAUAACACUUUUCUCAGCUGGGACUCUGAGAGGAGGUAGAAGGCUGAUUGGAGUUUCUAUCAAUGCUUUGAAGGCAAAGCAAGCAGAUGGUGGGCUUGACAGCCGAAACUGUAGAAGCCUGAGCUGCAAACACACCCGAUUCAGGGCUGUACCACCUCCACACAGGCAUGGACCAGAUACUCUUUUUUUGUAAUUUGUAAGAUAUUUUUUCCUAUAGGAUACACUUUAGGGAAUUUCCUCUUUCUAUAUUUCACAUUUCUCUAUUAUUUGAACUUAUAACACAAAUCAGAGAAGAGUAUACUUAUUUUAAAUAUUUAGAUAUUAAAAUAUUUAAUAUUAAAAUAAUUUAGACAUUAUUUUAAAUUAGUCUUCCCUUUUUUCUUUCUUUCUUUUCCUUUUCUUUCUUUCUCUUUUUUCUUCUUUCUUUUCCUUUCUUUCUUUCUUUCUUUCUUUCUUUCUUUCUUUCUUUCUUUCUUUCUUUCUUCUUUCCUUCCUUCUUUCUUUCUCCCCUUCCUUCCUUUCUUACUUCCCUUCCUUCCUUCCUUUCUCCCCUUCCUUCCUUCCUUCCUUCCUUCCUGCCUUCCUUCCUUCCCUCCCUCUCUCUCUCUCUUUCUUUCUUUCUUCCUUUCUUUCUUUCCUUCACUACAAGUAUGCCAACAACCUGUAAGGACUAUCUUUAGAGUUCAGUAAAGCAAAAAUUUGAUCAAUAGGAACUCAUCUAAUGGUUUCAUUCACUCUACCCUUGGAAAGGAACAGAUAAUAAGAAAAGAAGCUCAGAGUCUAUGGUGGCCACAGAUCUUUCACAGACCCUGAAAAUUCACUCCCUCUUACCCCGUCUUCAGGGUCUCUACUUGGACAGGACAACAGUCAACAGGGUAUCCCGAAGGCCUGUCGUCAAGAAAACAAGUUAACAAACAACAACAACAAAACCAUUCACUUCAUCAAUAAUCAAGGCAGGAAAUACAAAGUAAUACCCUGGAACAAAAAUGGUUCAAAAAUGAAAUGGGUUGUGCAGAAGGCAGAAAGUCCAGGUAUCUUGGCUAGAUCCAGAGGCACUGCCCUUUGUGCACCUAGACCUCAAAUUCUCUUUUAGUUGCAAGACUCUGCCAUCCUGAGAGUGUCUGAACACGUUUUUCAGAAGACUCUGUAACAACAGUGAAUUUUUCAAAGCAGUUUUCUGGUGAGGCUUCAAUUAACCAGAAAAUCAGAUUAAUUGUGCAUGAACUUCUAUUUCUGGGAACAGUUUGACCCAUGGAAUAUGCAAGUAAGACGUGUAAAAGUAAGACGUGUUAAAAUGGGGCUCUCUGGUAUUUGCUUUAGAGCAUGGAAGAAUGGGAAAACAAGACAGUGAGGGCUGGGGGCCAAAGAAAAUGCUAUAUUUAGAUGUGCAGGGCUUUGUUUGGCCCUGAUACCAUCGUAGACACAGUUAGUCGGGAACAAGGGGGCCAUUCAAUCAAUCCACCUGACACGCUGUCGCCGGCCCGUGCGUUCCACAGGCACAGAGCUCAAAACCAUCCUGAAAGAGGCUGUCGACUGAGAAGAGGUAACAGCUGCUCUGUGGCAAUUAACCAGCAGUUUCUGUUGCUGAAGGAGAUUAUUUUGGAUGGCGUAAAGAGAUUCAAAUAAAAAUGUCAACGUGCCCAUUAUGGAUGAAAGUUAGAAAAACUUAAGUGGCCCUGAAUUAAUCACUAUUUGACAGGAAGGCACGUAAACGAGUACUAAAAAUCCCCCACAAAUCUAUUUUCCUGCCUUUUUGGUGAUUGUAAAGAAGCUCACUGGGGGUGGGGAGGGCAUUUCUUGGCUGCAACCUUAAUUCAUCUUGGAGUGAAGAUUUAAUGACAAAGUUACAAGCCCUUAAAGUAGCAUUUAUUGAGGGGCUAAUGAGAGUUCCUAAGAACUCUGAAAAAAAAAAAGAAAAAGAAAAAAUAGCAGCCACUAACACAAGAGGCCUUUGAAAAUACCGAAGAGAGGGGAGUUCAUUAGUCUUUUUUUUCUUCCCCUUUCUCAACAAUGAAUGUUUCUGCUGCCAAACCUUCAGGAAUAGGGUUGGUUUCCUUUCAAGUAAUUGAUGCAGACUUUGCUUGUGCAUCGGAGUCCAGACACUCUUUCCAACAAGAAGCAGGAAAUCUCACCGUCAAAGGGAAACUGUGCAUUCCUUCCUCUCUGGCUGGGUCGGGGCCUUGCAAACAGUGGAUUUAUGCUGCCCUUGCCAAAAACACCGCCGAUUUCCACGCCCUCCCAUGGCUAAGAUAACGAAUGCUGCCUUCGGCCUCUGAGAGCUGCACUUAUUUAAAACUCCAGCUAUGCUGUAACAAAACCGGCUGCUGUCACCCCAAAUCGAGCAAAUGAGCCCCUGUCCUACAGCAUAAAGGCUAAGAGAGUUAUUGAAUGUCCCCUGCGGAGAAGGCCCCAUUUGCCCCUGCCGUCCCUUAGCAUUCCCCCUCACCCCUCUUCUCGGCCCUCUCGCCUCCACUCCUCCAUUCCAGGAGCACAGGAAGGAAUAGCUGUGGCUGGUCUGUUCCGAAAGGAUCGAGUUUUCUUAAGUCAGAAUUUUUUUCUUUUAAAGAAAAAGCAGAAGUGGAAAGGAAUGUUGUGAAGAAAAUGGAAGCUGGCAAAGUGUUUUAACUUCAAAUAAUCUUCCCGUCAAUGCUGACACCCAAACGUAAUGCUCUUUUGUAAAUGUAAAUAUAACUGAACAGUUAUAGGAAGUGGAGAAGGAAGGAGAGGGGCUGUAAACCGCCAAAUGUAAAACAGGUAUCGUGACUUCUGGUCGCUCAAGACAGAGAGAAGCAUUGCUUUUGGAGCUAUUAUCCCCAAGGAGUCUCAAAAAUGAUCUACAACAUGUAAUUAAACUGACAUGCAGAAAACAUGUGUAUUUAGAAAAUGCUCUCACUGUUGUUUAUGCCUAACCAAAACAUUCCAUUUCUCUCAGGAUACAAAAGGAAGGUUUUGCAAUAAAAGUG
rnacentral:lncRNA from 1 species